GUCGCAAAAACCCCUACCAUGUGAGAAGAAGAGAAAAAAUCAACGUUAUAUAUAUAACUUGUUCAACUUUGAAAAAAAAUAACAUGUACAAAAUGUGUUAUCUAAUCUAUCAAUUUAAUGUUUUAUUUUUUAUAUACUUACAAAUGUUGUCAUUUAAGUUUUGGACUUAUUCACGUUUAAUUAGAAAUAAAUCUUCUAUUAUUAUAAAGAGUUUUUCUCUACUCUAGUGUUGCCACGUCAGCAAAUAAGAUAAGGAGAGAGUGACACGUGUCAACUCAGUUCCGUUGCUUUCGUUUCGUUUGGUUGUAGUGGGCCUAACGAGAUUGUUCUUUGUUUUAUUUUUUGGUUGGUAUGUUUAUGAGCUUCAAUAUUUGGGCUUACAAAAUCAACACACAAAAGUCGCAACGUUUCCACGAUAUCCUUCUUCGAUGAUGGGUUCUUCAUAUCCUGGAAUAGAACAAACUACAAUGGAGGUUCUGGAAUCUCUGUGUCGAUCUCCCUUCCCGUCGUUUCUUCUUCUAUACAUCUCCCCAUUCGUUUCGUAAUCAAGUGUUCCAUUGCCAUUAAAAGCCUUCUUAACUCCUUGGACCCACGCAAACCAUGGUUCCUCACUCAGUGCUCCUUAAAGGCGGUGGAAGUCCACCUAUAAAAAGGCGACACUCAUAUUCAGGCCUGCUCAUGCUAGCCACCGUCAAAGUCCACUGUCUCACCAGCUAUGUGAUUCGGUUCAAUGAUUCAACCACUUUGGAUGAGAUAACCGAGUCACCUAAUCAAGUUGAGUGCACUCCGCCAUAUCAGUUAGAUGUAAAGGCUUAAUCUUCGACCAUAUCGUGUUCAUCGUGAACGUUCAUUUUCGCCAAUGCAACCCAAGUAAAAUGGUCUGUGCAAGUGCGUUUAUUCCAGCAAUAUUCAUAUGGUUCUAGACCCCAGCGUUCGAGCAAAACAGCAAAUGAUUUCGUUCUAAGGCAUGAGGGAGAGAGCAAAACAAGAGGCUGGAACCAGAAAAGCAGAGGAAAAGAAGGACAAGCAUGUGUUUAAUGUGAAGCUGGAGAAGUUACAGCUGCAAAUCACUUGCGGUUUUACCAAAAGUUCUAACGGGUGUUUCGCUGUUUUUUUUUUGGGGCACUUUGGUGAUCAAUGAAUCUCUCAAAAAAAGUUAAUUUAAAAAUGCUCUGAAACACUGGUGGGAAUGCAGGGCUUUACAAAGUUGUUCGGGUUGGUAUGAAAAAAACACUUUUAAAUUAUCGGUUAAAGUAAAAUCAUGUUAACCAUUUUUCUACAUAACAAUCUAACUAGAUAAUUUUUUUCUCCGGCCAUUAAUUUCUAACUCAUAAGAAUCAAUAAUUGAAUGAAUAUAACUAAAAAUAUCAAACAAAGAAAGGCAGAGAAAUUUAUUACUCUUUAGUCAACAAUUCGUUGCCAAAAAAAAGUAUAACAUAAAUACCAAAAAACAACAACAAUUGUUAAUAAUAGCAAUUAUUAUUCACAAAGAGUUCCUCAGAAAUUAAAACUUCAUUCUCUCCUGUAUUAAAUACCCCCACAAAACAAAACAAAAAAAAUAAUGGUAUUAGAAUAUAUGGAGUAACAUUUAUGUGUGG